rnacentral:rRNA from 1 species
GUUGUGAGGUUUAGCGACUAAGCGUACACGGUGGAUGCCCUGGCAGUCAGAGGCGAUGAAGGACGUGCUAAUCUGCGAAAAGCGUCGGUAAGGUGAUAUGAACCGUUAUAA